rnacentral:rRNA from 1 species
UACGUAGGCAGCAAGCGUUGUUCGGAUUUACUGGGCGUAAAGAGUAUGUAGGCGGUGUCCUAAGUUCGGUGUGAAAUCUCCAGGCUCAACCUGGAGGGGUCAUUCGAUACUGCCGUGACUAGAGUUCGGUAGAGGAGUGUGGAAUUCCUGGUGGAGCGGUGAAAUGCGCAGAGAUCAGGAGGAACACCCGUAGCGAAGGCGGCACUCUGGGCCGAUACUGACACUGAGGAGCGAAAGCGUGGGGAGCGAACAGG